UCUAGAACUCGAGAUAUAGGCUGAACAUUGAACAAUGUCUGGGCUGCAGAACAGAUUCCGACUUCUCCGAUGUUGCUACCAUUUGAACUCGAAAAUAACACUUUUAAAUCUUGGACUCUUCAUGAAAGUCUUAGGCUUCUAUCUUAGCUUUCCAUA
rfam:Populus trichocarpa scaffold_17_contig_335, whole genome shotgun sequence.